UACAGAGGGUGCGAGCGUUGUCCGGAAUCACUGGGCGUAAAGGGCGCGUAGGCGGCUGGAUAAGCGUGUGGUGAAAGUCCGGGGCUCAACCCCGGAUCGGCCAUGCGAACUGUCCAGCUGGAGCACGGUAGAGGCACAUGGAAUUCCGGGUGUAGCGGUGGAAUGCGUAGAGAUCCGGAAGAACACCGGUGGCGAAGGCGGUGUGCUGGGCCGUAGCUGACGCUGAGGCGCGACAGCGUGGGGAGCAAACAGG
rnacentral:rRNA from 1 species